UACGUAGGUGGCAAGCGUUAUCCGGAAUUAUUGGGCGUAAAGAGGGAGCAGGCGGCAGCAAAGGUCUGCGGUGAAAGACUGAAGCUUAACUUCAGUAAGCCAUAGAAACCGGGCAGCUAGAGUGCAGGAGAGGAUCGUGGAAUUCCAUGUGUAGCGGUGAAAUGCGUAGAUAUACGGAGGAACACCAGUGGCGAAGGCGACGAUCUGGCCUGCAACUGACGCUCAGUCCCGAAAGCGUGGGGAGCAAAUAG
rnacentral:rRNA from 1 species